rnacentral:rRNA from 1 species
UCCCAGCAGUCCAAGUCGCAGCCACAAUUGUUGGGUCUAAAACAUCCGUAGCUUGCCCUGUAAGUCUUGUGUGAAAUCUGGCCUCUUAAGGGUCGGGCGUGCACAAGAUACUGCUUGGCUAGAGACCGGGAGACGUUAGGAGUACGCAUAGGGAAGCGGUAAAAUGUGUUGAUCCUAUGUGGACUAACAAUAGCGAAGGCACCUAACGAGAACGGAUCUGACAGUGAGGGAUGAAGGCGAGGGGCGCAAAGUG